rnacentral:rRNA from 1 species
CAGUCGCCGCGGUAAUACAGAGGAUGCAAGCGAUAUCCGGAAUGAUUGGGCGUAAAGCGUCUGUAGGUGGCUUUUCAAGUCCGCCGUCAAAUCCCAGGGCUCAACCCUGGACAGGCGGUGGAAACUACCAAGUUGGAGUACGGUAGGGGCAGAGGGAAUUUCUGGUGGAGCGGUGAAAUGCGUUGAGAUCGGAAAGAACACCAGUGGCGAAGGCGACUCUCUGGUCUGUAACUGACGCUGAGGAGCGAAAGCGUGGGGAGCGAACAGGAUUAGAUACCCCCGUAGUCCCUGUCUCUUAUAA